UUGCUGCCUGUUCAUCGUGCCUUUUUUUUUCCUGCAAUCUCUGAUGCUACCAGUCGGCUCUACAGUGCCCUUACGGACAAGAUUGAUCAGACCAGAAGGAAGUUCCAUAUAUGUGGGUAGUUUUUUGUACCGGUGAAAAAAAGAGCAAAGGCAGGCUCCUGAAUUGUUAUCACUGAAAAUAUUGCCUGUUCUGUAGCAUAUCUAGCUUAUGCUGUUACUGUCUUGGCUAUUAUGUGACUUCAGAAGAUUAACAUAAUAAAUUCUAGUAUUAGAAAUUUGGAUUUGCCUUAAGAGUUAGAGACUAUAGUUUCCCACUUUGGCAUCAAUUAAUUCACAAUUCAUGUUCUUCCAUGCCAUGCUACAGUUUAUUGAAUGACAUAGUACAAAGCAUAGACACUCAUCUCUAAAUUGUGGCGCUCUGAACACAGACUGAGGACAUAUCAUGCUGAAUGCAGAAUGGGGACUCUUAUCAAUCGAGGCAUAUAAAAAUUACCAGGCAAUCAAGCCUGUACUU
rnacentral:lncRNA from 1 species